AGUGAACGCUGGCGGUAGGCCUAACACAUGCAAGUCGAACGGCAGCACAGUAAGAGCUUGCUCUUACGGGUGGCGAGUGGCGGACGGGUGAGGAAUACAUCGGAAUCUACUUUUUCGUGGGGGAUAACGUAGGGAAACUUACGCUAAUACCGCAUACGACCUACGGGUGAAAGCAGGGGAUCUUCGGACCUUGCGCGAUUGAAUGAGCCGAUGUCGGAUUAGCUAGUUGGCGGGGUAAAGGCCCACCAAGGCGACGAUCCGUAGCUGGUCUGAGAGGAUGAUCAGCCACACUGGAACUGAGACACGGUACAGACGCCUACGGGAGGCAGCAGUGGGGAAUAUUGGACAAUGGGCGCAAGCCUGAUCCAGCCAUACCGAGUGGGUGAAGAAGGCCUUCGGGUUGUAAAGCCCUUUUGUUGGGAAAGAAAAGCAGCAGGUUAAUACCCCGCUGUUCUGACGGUACCCAAAGAAUAAGCACCGGCUAACUUCGUG
rnacentral:rRNA from 1 species